CGGAUCCGCAUGGAUAUGUUGUUAAAGGUUUACCGCUUGGGAUAGGCUUGCGUCUGAUUAGUUAGUUGGUGUGGUAACGGCACACCAAGGCUACGAUCAGUAACUGGUCUGAGAGGAUGAUCAGUCACACUGGAACUGAGACACGGUCCAGACUCCUACGGGAGGCAGCAGUGAGGAAUAUUGGGCAAUGCUCGAAAGAGUGACCCAGCAACGCCGCGUGGAGGAUGAAGGUAUUCUAUAUUCGUAAACUCCUGUGAGAGCAGACGAAAGACAGAUUAUUAAUCUGGAUGACUGUAUGCUCAGAGGAAGCCCCGGCUAACUACGUG
rnacentral:rRNA from 1 species